rnacentral:rRNA from 1 species
UACGUAGGGUGCAAGCGUUGUCCGGAAUUACUGGGCGUAAAGCGCACGUAGGCGGAUUGUUAAGUCGGGGGUGAAAUCCUGGAGCUCAACUCCAGAACUGCCUUUGAUACUGGGAAUCUCGAGUCCGGGAGAGGUGAGUGGAACUGCGAGUGUAGAGGUGAAAUUCGUAGAUAUUCGCAAGAACACCAGUGGCGAAGGCGGCUCACUGGCCCGGUACUGACGCUGAGGUGCGAAAGCGUGGGGAGCAAACAGG